rnacentral:lncRNA from 1 species
UUACAGGCAUGCACCACCAUGCCCAGCUAAUUGCUUUGACUUUAGACAAUUUGACUAUAAUGUGCUCUGGAGAAGACCUUUUGUAUUCUAUCUGUUUGGGGAUUGCUUGGUGUCCUGUAUCUAAAAAUCCAUAUCUCUUGCUAGACUUGGGAAGUUUUCAUCUGUUAUUUUGUUAAAUAGGUUUUUGAACCCUUUUGUUCUCUUUUCAUCUUCUGGGAUAUUGGUAAUUCAUAUAUUUGGUAGCUUUACGGUGUUCCACUUUCCAUAUAUCAUGAAAGCUUUGUUUAUUCCCUUUUCUUUAUUUUUGUCUGACUGAGUUAUUUCAAAAGACCUGUCUUCAAGUUCUGAGAUUCUUUCUUUUGCUUGAUCUAGUCUGUUGUGGAAGCUUUCAAAUAUGAUUUGUAUUUAAUUUAAUGAAUUCUUCAGUUUUAGAAUUUCUAUUUAGUUCUUUUUAAUGACAUCUAUUUCUUUGCUAAAUUUCUUAUUCAUAUCCUGAAUUGUUUUCUAAUUUCUUUGUAUUGUUCUUUGGAAUUCUCUUGUAUCUCACUGAGCUUCUUUACUGUCAAAAUUUUGAAUUCUUUUUCUGUGAUUUUGUGAAAUUUUUUUUAUUGAGAUCUGUUACUGGAGAAUUACUGGGUUCCUUUAGAGGUGUCAUAUUUCCUUGCUUUUAUAAGUUUCCUGUGUUCUUACAUUGAUACCUUCAUAUUUGCUAUUAUUGUCACUUCUUCCAAUUUUUUGUAUUUGCUUUCACAGGAGAGAAAUUUUUCUGACGAUGCAUUAAUGGUGUUGGUCAGGUAUGGCCCUUUGGCUUUUAUUUUGGGUGCAUACUGUAGUGUAGUCUCUCUGUACAAUUUCUUUGGCUGUAAACAAUAUCAGUGGUAUUCGUGAUUUCCUUGGUGGCUUAGGGUAUGGUUAUUAGUGGAGGCUCUGGUGAGCUUUGGCUGGAAACAGAGAUGCCAGAUGGGCCAGUCUUCAGCCUCCAGUGGUGGCAGUGGAGGGCCAAGCAUCCCUGUUCUUGGACCCCAGGAUGGUGUCCACUGUCACCAGUGUCAGCAGGUCCAGGCAGGCUGAUUCUUGGGCCUCCAGGGUGGCUUGUUCAGAUGCUAGUAUUGGCGGCAGUGGGUUGGGCAUGUGGGCAGGUUCUUCAGUCCCUGGGAAGAAAGUAUGGUGUGUGUGAUGGCAGUUAGUAGUGGCAGAUGACCCUCUGGGUCCUGAGAAGUGUAUAUUUGUAUUGGUGAUGGCUCGAUGGGCUGGGCAGGACAGUCCCCAGGCUCCUAGGUAGUGCAUGUGGGUGGGUGCUGGCAGUGGUGUUGGUGUCAGGUUGGGUGGGCCCAUCUUCAGGUUCCUGAAGGGACUGCACAGAUGCCAGAGGUGGUGGAAUGGGUGUAGUGAUCCCCAGGUCCUAAGGCAGCAUGCUUGGGCUCUGGGGACUGGGCCUCUCUCUGGGCUGCCUCUCCAGUCCUCUGCCUGCCACUGUUUUCAUUGCUAUCAUUAUUUCUGUUUCUCUGAAGGUAGAGAAUGCUGCCAACCUGCUCUGCCCUCCUCAGACUCUCUCGUCUGACAGUUCUAUAAAGGCCCCUCCACCCAGCCUCUAGCCCAUUUCUUUCUCUGGCUUUUGCAGGGUAACAGAAGACAGAGAAGCUACAAAAAAAGCCUCCAAAACAUGAAUUAUUGAAAUGAUCAGAUAUGGUUCACAAAAUAACGAUGCUUUUUACAUUUAUGAAAUAAAUUCCAAGCUUAAAAACAUCCGUGAAAAGGAAACUCUAAAAUUUAAUGUGACAUAUUAAGAAAAAAAUCCAAAAAUAUAAUACUCAAAAUUAAGAUGGGCUUAAGAGCAAAUGAAAUGUAGCUAACAUUUUUAAAUGGAAGACAAGAAGAAAACAUCCUCCAGAAUGCAGCACACAGAAAUAAAAGGGAAGAAUUGGAAAAGAGUGGAUAAGAGGCAUAAGUGGUCAGUGACAAGUUGUAGCCCAGAAAGUGUGAAGGGAAUGGGACAGAUAUAAAAUUGGAAGAAAUAACAGCUCUGAAUUUUUCAAAAGUAAAAACGAUAUCAAUCUACAACUUUAAGAAUCUCCAUAUAUCCUAAGCAAAAUAAAUUAUAAGAAACUCACACCCAGACAUUGCAGCAAAACUUCAGACAACAAUAGACAGAGACAAAAAUCUUAAAGCAUCAGAAAAGAAGCAGUUACUUUCAAAGGAAGAACAGUUAGACUGAGAACUGACUUCUCAAUAGUAA